rnacentral:rRNA from 1 species
UACGUAGGGGGCAAGCGUUGUCCGGAAUCAUUGGGCGUAAAGCGCGCGUAGGCGGCCCUGUAAGUCCGCUGUAAAAGUCAAAGGCUCAACCUUUGAAAGCCGGUGGAUACUGCAGGGCUAGAGUCCGGAAGAGGCGAGUGGAAUUCCUGGUGUAGCGGUGGAAUGCGCAGAUAUCAGGAGGAACACCAAUAGCGAAGGCAGCUCGCUGGGACGGUACUGACGCUAAGGCGAAAGCGUGGGGAGCGAACAGG